UGCCAGCCGCCGCGGUAAUACAGAGGGUGCGAGCGUUAAUCGGAAUUACUGGGCGUAAAGGGCGCGUAGGCGGCUUAGUAAGUCGGAUGUGAAAUCCCCGGGCUUAACCUGGGAAUUGCAUUCGAUACUGCUCGGCUAGAGUACGGUAGAGGAAAGCGGAAUUCCGGGUGUAGCGGUGAAAUGCGUAGAUAUCCGGAGGAACAUCAGUGGCGAAGGCGGCUUUCUGGACUGAUACUGACGCUGAGGCGCGAAAGCGUGGGGAGCAAACAGGAUUAGAUA
rnacentral:rRNA from 1 species